rnacentral:rRNA from 1 species
AUUGAACGCUGGCGGCAUGCCUUACACAUGCAAGUCGAACGGGAGCACGGGGGCUUGCACCUGGUGGCGAGUGGCGAACGGGUGAGUAAUAUAUCGGAAAGUACCUUAUUGUGGGGGAUAACGCAGCGAAAGCUGUGCUAAUACCGCAUAAUCCCUAAGGGGAAAAGCGGGGGACCGUAAGGCCUCGCGCAAUUAGAGCGGCCGAUACCUGAUUAGCUAGGUGGGGAGGUAACGGCUCACCAAGGCAACGAUCAGUAGCUGGUCUGAGAGGACGAUCAGCCACAAUGGGACUGCGACACGGCCCAGACUCCUACGGGAGGCAGCAGUGGUGAAUUUUGGACAAUGCGGGCAACCCUGAUCCAGCAAUGCCGCGUGAGUGAAGAAGGCCUUCGGGUUGUAAAGCUCUUUUGUCAGGGAAGAAACAGCAGCUCCAACACAGUAUGCGAAUGACGGUACCUGAAGAAAAAGCACCGGCUAACUACGUGCCAGCCGCCGCGGUAA